GUGAUCUUUGGGUCAUCAUUGUGCUACUGCGGGUCUCUAAGAGACCACAUUCUGCCACCGUUGGCCAUAUACUCAGUCUCCAAGGUCAGCCAUUAAACCCAUGACAAGCCCAUGACUCUGUUCCACAACAUUUUGCAAAUGAAGUCACGCUGUUAAUUGCCAUAAAGACUUUUCUUCCACUAAAAGCAAAAAAUGCAAGCAGAUUUUGUCACCCACUAAAACUCCAGUAUGUGUUAAAUGUGUUUAUUCCUUGCCAUGCUCCUAACUCUCUGUCCCUGGGUUUCUAGAGAAGGAUGAAGAGGGAAGGAGGAAUUCCACGGAGGACACUAGCCUAGAGGACAUCACCCCAGACGGGCACAUUCUGCAGAUUUCUCCAAUUCCAGACACCCACCCUCUUCUGGUCUUUGUGAACCCAAAGAGUGGAGGGAAGCAGGGGGAGAGAGUGAUGACGAAGUUCCACUAUUUAUUGAACCCACGGCAGGUCAUCAACUUCUCCAGCGGAGGACCUGGACCCUGACCCGAGUGACAAGUGGAUUGAGGUGGUGGGGUUGUCGGGGCUAUCGAAAUGGGUCAGAUCUAUUCUGGGCUGAAGUGUGCUGGACACAGACAGGCUCAAACCUCACAGAUCACUAUCAGGUAGAUUAUAAUGCUCUAUACACAAGUCUUAAAGGUUUUAUGCCUUUUACCUUUUGUUAAUUAAAAUGGAUCUGUCUCUCUGUCUUGUUACCUUUCUCAGGACAUAUAAAGCCCUGCCUAUGUAGAUUGAUGGUGAGCCCUGCCUAUGUAGAUUUAUGGUGAGCCCUGCCUAUGUAGAUUGAUGGCGAGCCCUGCCUAUGUAGAUUGAUGGUGAGCCCUACCAAUGUAGAUUGAUGGUGAGCCCUACCAAUGUAGAUUGAUGGUGAGCCCUACCAAUGUAGAUUGAUGGUGAGCCCUACCAAUGUAGAUUGAUGGUGAGCCCUACCUAUGUAGAUUGAUGGUGAGCCCUACCUAUGUAGAUUGAUGGUGAGCCCUACCAACGUAGAUUGAUGGUGAGCCCUACCAAUGUAGAUUGAUGGUGAGCCCAACCAAUGUAGAUUGAUGGUGAGCCCUACCAAUGUAGAUUGAUGGUGAGCCCUACCAAUGUAGAUUGAUGGUGAGCCCUACCAAUGUAGAUUGAUGGUGAGCCCUACCAAUGUAGAUUGAUGGUGAGCCCUGCCUAUGUAGAUUGAUGGUGAGCCCUGGAUGCAGCCUCCUUGCACGUGCUAAUAAGUAAGUGCUAAUAUUAAUAUGCUUUUGUACCUGAUAUAAUAAAUGCAAUAUAUUAAGUGAGGUUGGCCUUGGGAUCUUUAUGACAAAUUGAAUUAGAGUGUG